rnacentral:rRNA from 1 species
UAUCUUAGUGGCGGACGGGUGAGUAACGCGUGGGUAACCUGCCUUAUACAGGGGGAUAACACUUAGAAAUAGGUGCUAAUACCGCAUAAGCGCACGGGGCUGCAUGGCCCAGUGUGAAAAACUCCGGUGGUAUAAGAUGGACCCGCGUCUGAUUAGCUUGUUGGCGGGGUAACGGCCCACCAAGGCGACGAUCAGUAGCCGGCCUGAGAGGGUGGACGGCCACAUUGGGACUGAGACACGGCCCAAACUCCUACGGAAGGCAGCAG